AAGACAGUCAUUAACACAACGUAUAUUCCUGAACUCUACAGAAACACAAGAAAUCCGUGGCACCGCAUGCCCUGAACUACCAAAGAAGACCCAAGAAGACUCAGGCUUUUGAGUGGUUUACUCAGUCCCUCUCCAUGUCUUUGGGCUUACAGGAAGAGCAGACAAUGGUCCUUUUUAUACUGUCCCGGAAUAAUGUACUCGCUUUAUCCCACUCUAACCAACCACUUUACAAAGAGGUGCCAUGCCGUUUGGCCAUCAGUCUAGGGACAUCAAGUAAGGGUUCCCAGUGCUCCGGUGGCUCGGCGUAUCCCAGGCCUGAUUGCUGGUAACGCAGUGUCUUAAUUAGAGACAAGCAAAUAGCAGCAUCUGCUGCUCAGCAAGGAAAAGUAAUUGUCUAACUCCUCGAAAUCUGAGGUCAAGACUACAACAAACGGCCUUCUCCAAAUUCAAAAUAUCCACGUCCCCCUUAGCCACUUGCAGACCACCCAUGCUGGACCCUUUUUAUCGUCGUAUCUUCAAAUGCUUCAGCUAAUAUCUGGCCCAAGGUCUGAGAUGAGACAACAGACUGUACUUAAGUGGCUGCAUUGCUAGCACCUAAAAAAGACUCCCAGAUCCUCACACUGGAGCACUGUGUUUUUAUGUACCAGGAGAAAGGAAAUACUCAGAAGCCGUUCGAUGCUAUCAUCCACCUAUCUCGGGUUGUGCAGAUCCAGGCACGCAGGAUCAAGGUCAGAAGUUGAAGCCGGGGCAGAAGACAGCAGCCAUUUCCAUUUUUCUCAAGUCACAAUAGAAAGUAGGGCAGAGAGAGGAGGUGCCUGGCCUCGGUUGAAUGACCCAAGUUGCUGCCCUGAGAGCACCUAGGGCCUGGGAUUGUACGCAGACAGAGGAGCUUUGUGUGGAGAACAAAGAGUCCCAAGGCCAGAGCCAGUCCUCCCCUUGUAGGGGCAGGGUAGGAUAGAGCCACUUCAUUCUGGGACAGGCAGGUUUGCUAUGUGCUCUGGCCUCCCUCCACCAAACCCUAUUACUGCCCUGCGUUUUCAGCCCUGCUCAGCUCACUGGCCCUCUGUGAUGCUGUCACCUACUUUCCCAUGCCCAGUGCUCCCCAGGUCCAGCCCCCAACCCCACCUCAGCCUUCUCCUCUCACCAUCUCACCCCCCAGGCUGGCUCAGCAAAGUCACUGUCAUCUCUGUGUCAUUUCCAGUGAUCAUUUUCAAUUCUUAUCUUGUUGACUAUUUGGCAGCAUCGAAGCUGAAUAUACCUUUUGGAAACUGUCCGUUCCUGUCUUCCAGGCAGACGCCUUCUCUGAGAACAUUUAUUCUUCCUACUAAAACAGCGUGUUUAUGAGGCACCUGUAUUCUGUUGGCAGUUUCCAUCCCUUGGAGAUACUCUCCUCAGUGCGAGACAGGUGGAAGGAACAGAUAAGGAAACCAAGGCUCCAGGCAACUAAGGAGUUUUCCCAAGACCCCAUAGCAACAAGUGAUAGGCUCUUUAUAAAGAACCCAAAUCUACUGCUUUGCCCUGACUCUAGCUCCGCUGGGUUGCCCUCAUCUUAACUCCUCUCCUUCGUGGACACUGCUCUCUGUCCCUGCCCUCAUUUUCCCAUCCCCUCCCCCACACCCCUUCUCCUGUCUGUAGCAAGCUUUUCUGCAUAGCUUCAGUGCCCAUUUUUUUUUGCAUUGUUUUGUUUUGCUUGUUUGUUUGUUUUGUUUUGACAGUGCUUUGCCACUAACCCAGCUCUCACUCCCUAAGUCCCAGAUGCUGCUUACUGUAGCUGCUGUUGUUACUAUUGUUACUAAGACCUGAGAUUUACAAUGUUUCCGUACGGUAGAUGUGGUGACAGACAUUGUUUGUUACGAUGUUUUUCUAAGGAGACUUAGUAUUAGAGAGGCUAAUCCACUUGUCUCCAGGUCAGCGGAAGCUGAUAUUCUUCUGAUUUUAAAGCCAUUGUUUGUUUGAAACACAGUCUUGUUAGGUAGCUCUGGUUAGCCUUGAACUCACCAUCCUCCUGCCUCAGACUCCCUAGUUCUGGGAUUACAUGCAUAUAGCACCACACUUGACUUAGUCAUUGUCUUACCUGCUGACUAGACUCUUCAGGGGGUACCUUUAGCACCUCAUAUUUGAAAUGCCUAAAUUUCAACCUGUCUGUCCUACACCAGUUGGGUGACCAUAGCAAGUGACAGCUUGUCCAAACUGUAGCUAUUAUCAGCUCGCCCAAUCCUGUCUUCUCAUGACAGCAAUUUUUUAUUUUUUUUAUUCUUUGGUUUUUAGAGACAGGGUUUCUCUGUGUAGCCCUGGCUGUCCUGGAACUCACUCUGUAGACCAAGCUGGCCUUGAACUCAGAAAUCUGCCUGCCUCUGCCUCCCAAGUGCUGGGAUUAAAGGCAUAUACCGCCACCCCCAGGGCUCUGUGCAUACUAGGCAAGCCUUCCACCCAUUGAGCUAUGCCUCCAGCCCAAAGCUGCGCGUGACUUUACAGGCCAGCCAUCAAAGCUUCUCCCAGGAUUUCUCAUCGCUCCCAGCCACGUGAUGGCCACCUUCAUCUCCUUCCCUGUGUUCUUAUGCUCAGUGCCAACCUGUCUCCAGCCCAAAGCCCCUGAAACUCUCAGCCAAAGCUUCAGACCCUCAGCUUGACUUUCAAAGUGUAAGGCACAAGGCCUCCAUCUUCUGCAGACCCAACUCCCAUCUGGUCCGGCAUGCAGCAUGAAGAACUGUCUUCUGUCUGUCUGCCUUCAUGCCAUGCCCUUCGCAGGCAGGGAAUGCCUUCUACCUUUUCAUCGUCUCAAUGUUUGUCCCACUGGUGUUUUUCCACUAACACUGAGCUUAAUGUUGUGUGUGCUCAGGUGUGCAAAAUCAAAUUUUUCCGUUUUAUGAAAAUCAAGUCUAUGAGGCUCUGAGAUGGCUCAGAGGGUAAAGGCGCUUGCUUCCAGGCCUGACGGCCCGGAGUCCAGAGUCUGCCCCUCCAGCCUUGGCUUCUGUCAUCCCAGCACCUUCUCCAAGCUCCUCCCCCUCGCUCCUUUCAUUCAGACCCCUUGGGAUUCUCAGGCCCAUAUGGAUAAUCAGAA
rnacentral:lncRNA from 1 species